AGGGUGUGGUUUACUGGUCGGCCAUGACUCGUGCCGGAUGUUCUCUUCACUUCGAAAACUUCCUCCAUAAUUACGCAUCAUAUCUCAAUACCAAGAUCCGUGGAAUCCAUGAAGGGGGGUCUUGCGUGGCCGUUUCGAUCCAAAAUCCAGGCCCCGGGGCGAUGGGUGAGAGUCUGACUUUGAAAACCACCCUCUGCGCCUCGAAACUGCUGUUGGGCUGCCAAGGAACGGAAAAGACCUUCGAAAUCAGGGUUGCAAAAAUAUAAAACUUGGAAUUGAUUUAAAAUUUAUCUGGUUUAAGGAGGACGCAAGUAACUGCGAUCUGCCAGAGUGCACAGGGCUACCCGAUUGCGUAAUGGAAGAUGAAUGGUUCCUGAAGCAACCCUUUAGAGUCCUGCUUGCACCCUGGCGAUUCGGGAAAUGGCAUUCAUGUUGCGACAACAACAUCCUCGAGCUGCAAAAUGAAUAUG